UACGUAGGGUCCGAGCGUUGUCCGGAAUUAUUGGGCGUAAAGCGCGCGCAGGCGGUCCUUUAAGUCUGAUGUGAAAGCCCACGGCUCAACCGUGGAGGGUCAUUGGAAACUGGGGGACUUGAGUGCAGAAGAGGAAAGUGGAAUUCCACGUGUAGCGGUGAAAUGCGUAGAGAUGUGGAGGAACACCAGUGGCGAAGGCGACUUUCUGGUCUGUAACUGACGCUGGAGGCGCGAAAGCGUGGGGAGCAAACAGG
rnacentral:rRNA from 1 species